rnacentral:rRNA from 1 species
AGUGAACGCUGGCGGUAGGCCUAACACAUGCAAGUCGAACGGCAGCACAGUAAGAGCUUGCUCUUCCGGGUGGCGAGUGGCGGACGGGUGAGGAAUACAUCGGAAUCUACUUUUUCGUGGGGGAUCACGUAGGGAAACCUACGCUAAUACCGCAUACGCCCUACGGGUGAGAGCAGGGGAUCUUCGCACCUUGCGCGAUUGAAUGAGCCGGUGUCGGAUUAGCUAGUUGGCGGGGUAAAGGCCCACCAAGGCGACGAUCCGUAGCUGGUCUGAGAGGGUGAGCAGCCACACUGGAACUGAGACACGGUCCAGACUCCUACGGGAGGCAGCAGUGGGGAAUAUGGGACAAUGGGCGCAAGUCGGAUCCAGCCAUGCCGCGUGGGGGAGGAAGGCCUUCGGGUUGUAAAGCCCUUUUGUUGGGAAAGAAAAGCAGCAGGUUAAUACCCCGCUGUUCUGACGGUACCCAAAGAAUAAGCACCGGCUAACUUCG